rnacentral:rRNA from 1 species
GAUGAACGCUGGCGGCGUGCCUAAUACAUGCAAGUCGAGCGAACGGACGAGAAGCUUGCUUCUCUGCUGUUAGCGGCGGACGGGUGAGUAACACGUGGAUAACCUACCUAUAAGACUGGGAUAACUUCGGGAAACCGGAGCUAAUACCGGAUAAUAUUUUGAACCGCAUGGUUCAAAAGUGAAUGACGGUCUUGCUGUCACUUAUAGAUGGAUCCGCGCUGCAUUAGCUAGUUGGUAAGGUAACGGCUUACCAAGGCAACGAUGCAUAGCCGACCUGAGAGGGUGAUCGGCCACACUGGAACUGAGACACGGUCCAGACUCCUACGGGAGGCAGCAGUAGGGAAUCUUCCGCAAUGGGCGAAAGCCUGACGGAGCAAUGCCGCGUGAGUGAUGAAGGUCUUCGGAUCGUAAAACUCUGUUAUUAGGGAAGAACAUAUGUGUAAGUAACUGUGCACAUCUUGACGGUACCUAAUCAGAAAGCCACGGCUAACUACGUG